UCUGGAUUAUUUUUUCUAGUUAAUUAUUAAUUGCUAAUGCUAAUCAAAUUACUUCAGAAAUGGGCCUAAGCAGUAAUGGUAUUUAUUAACAUCAUUUUCACUUGUUAGUAUUUUCCACGUCUGUAAUGAAGAAGAAAUUAUUUUCAUAAUUAGACCUGUCGACCUAUUAGACCAGUAAUCUGAAUUCACUUUAUAUAAAAUGGACAUCUUUUUUAAAUUUAACAGAAAAAUGCAAAAUGCUAAUUGUAUUUCUUUUUAAAUUUUAAAUAAAGAAAAAUAUGAAACAAGAAUUUCAUACCAUUUUUAGCCUAGAAACCAGGAGCCGUGGCUUUGACUAGUAACCAAAAUCUGUACAGUUAUGCAGUUGUUGUUACUGUAAGUUACAUGUGGAUGUAGAUGAUUUUUUUUUUUUAUUUUUGCAGGACACAAAGGUACCUCUGAGAAUAACAACUUCAGUCUUACCACAUAUCUUUCUGUAGCUGCUGGUGUUCUCUUGGCCUUUUUUAUUUUUGUGGUUUUGAUCAGAUUCUACUGCAAAUCAAAAUUAUUGGAAAUGAAGCAGUCCAGAGAAAAUCAGGAAUUACAAGACUUUGAGCCUUACUCAGUCUACACAGAGAGAGUGAAUGUCAUCUAUGAAAAAUAAGAUGAUGAAAUAACUACAUGGAGCCAGUCCUUGGGAAUUACUGUUCCUGAAAAGUGUAUUGCCUCUGCCAACUAAAUAUUUCAUUAUUAAUUUCAUUAAAGUAUGUUUCACAAUACAGUAUCAUAUACUGUAAAUGAGUAACAGACUGUGAAUUUUAAUUAAUAAUAAUUCUACAUUGUGCUUAGAGUGAAGGAAUUAGAAUUUGACAGAGAUGACCAAUUUGACAAUGACACAAAUAGAUUAUUGGAUGAGUCUGAGCACACCUUAGUACAGGCAGUAGACAUUAUAGUAGACUGUGGUGCUACAGCUGGAGACAGGCCUUAUUGAGAUGAAAUGAGUUUAUGAAUAAACAAUCCACACAAAAAGAAUAAACAUAGCUCACUAUAUUCAAAAGUAGCUCGUUCUGCCACAAAUAAAAAUUUGUCAGGCCUUUAAGGGCAACAUGCAAUGGAUUUGAAGAUGAAAUUGGGAAUAAAACAAAAUUAGCUGAGGUCAUAACCAGAAAGACAAAUGUUGUUUAACAAACACAAUCUACAAAGGAAAAUUCAAAGUCCAGCAGCCAUACCACAUGCACUUCAGAACAAGUAAUCCACCUGAAGCUAAGCAUGGUUCAGCCCAGACAGUACUUGGAUGGCAGACCAACCAGGAAAAGUUUGGGUUGCUGCUAGAAGAGGUUUGGGUGAGUCCAGUGGGAGCGCUGAUUGUGGAUCCCAAUGCCCCAGUAGAUUGACGAUGAGACAUAAAAUGAAGGUCCUGACUCUCUGUGGUCAUAAAAGAAUAGGCAUCCUUCGUAAAAGGUAGGGUGUAUCCCAGUGUCCUUAAUAAAUUUCCCUCUAGGGCCUAGUCAUUCUGGCCCCCUAAUCAUCCCCUGCCUCUAAUUGGCUAUCUACAUCUCACCCCUUUACCAUCUAUCAGCUAAUGUGUGGUGAGUGUACUGACACAAAAUGGCUUCCGUUGUAUCAUCCUGGUAGAUGCUGAACAUUAGUGGUGGUUGAAAUGGCUCCUCAGUCACUAUGUAAAGCACUAUGAGUAGAUGAGAAAUCUAAUACAUAUAUAAAAACAAUUAUUUACUUUCUGGAUGUAGAACCCAUCAAAACAUACAAGAGAAAUAACAAUUAAAAAGAGUGACUUUCAAAACAUUAGAAAAAAACAAGAAUCUCCAACAGAAAAAUAUUUGAAGCCAGGAGAAAUUUAGUAAAAUGUUUAUGAACUGCAUGGUUAUUCAACAACUACUAACCUCCACAUUUGUGUUUUGACAGCAUCUAGAUUCAGCAGGCUACUUCCUAUCUAAAACCCUAAAUAAUUUUAAUAUUUGUAGUUAUGUCUAGUUUCAUGACUGAAGUACAUUACGAUAUGAACAAAGGGAUACCUACUGUAGAUGAAGCCAACAGACAAACCUGAAGCUUACCAUAUGUUUGCUUCACUCAAUAAAAAUUGAUUGUAUAGAAAUUAUGUUUACUGUCUUUAACACGUUAAAUUAAAAGCCAUCCAUUGUAUGUAAUAUGUGUCAUUUAAUUUGCUGUUUUGAAAUGUGAUUUUGUGUAUAAUUUAAUGCCAAGCAGACUUGAGACAUCAUAACCAGAUCCAUUAUCAUUACAAUAAUGCUAUCACUAUUUAAGAUGGCUACAUGGUAUUUCAAAUUACUACAUUUUUGGAUAAGGUCUCAAUUUGAGAUUCUUGAAAGCUACUUAGGGAAAGGAUUAUUAGACAGUCAGGACCUUUUUGUUUUGUUCUUGGAGACCUGAUGUAGAGUGUAGAACCAUUUCCCUCAGCUUAAUUUCCCAGUCCAUAUCUCAAAUCUCUGUGUCCUUUUAGUUCAGAACAAUCAGAAAGAGGUUAAAGCGAAUUUCACUACAAUUUUACCUAGAGAAGGUACCUCCUCCAAAAUAAAUUAUGAGAAAGAGAACAGAGAUCCAAAGGUAGAAAUAGAUGAGGUUAAAAAGGGAUUUUAGUGGAUGCUAAAAGUUAGGAAGUUAGUACAUUAAGGUUCAAGAGGUGAGUAUAGAUCUAAGCCUUUUUGUUUUACAGACUAGUCUUUGUUCCUUGGGGGGUCAAGGUUUUCUCAUCUUCUGGAUCAAGAGCUUCUUGUCUCGUCUCAUUAUCCCUGUAGGGUCAAGAUCUUCUUAUUCCAUCUUUCCAAAAUCAGGGUCUUCUCCUCUCUUUAUCCUUCCAAGGUCAAUGUCUUUAUAUUUAAUCAUCGCAGCUGUGAAAAUUACUUUUGUUUUGUGGAAUUUUUGGGAUUUAUUGGGGUGUCUGGAAACUACCCCUUAGAAGGAUUUAGGUUUAUUUAGUCUUUUUGUUGUUAUAUAAAUAUAUAUAUUUCAUAU